GAUGAACGCUGGCGGCGUGCCUAAUACAUGCAAGUCGAGCGAACAGAUGAGGAGCUUGCUCCUCUGACGUUAGCGGCGGACGGGUGAGUAACACGUGGAUAACCUACCUAUAAGACUGGGAUAACUUCGGGAAACCGGAGCUAAUACCGGAUAAUAUAUUGAACCGCAUGGUUCAAUAGUGAAAGACGGUUUUGCUGUCACUUAUAGAUGGAUCCGCGCCGCAUUAGCUAGUUGGUAAGGUAGCGGCUUACCAAGGCAACGAUGCGUAGCCGACCUGAGAGGGUGAUCGGCCACACUGGAACUGAGACACGGUCCAGACUCCUACGGGAGGCAGCAGUAGGGAAUCUUCCGCAAUAGGCGAAAGCCUGACGGAGCAACGCCGCGUGAGUGAUGAAGGUCUUCGGAUCGUAAAACUCUGUUAUUAGGGAAGAACAAAUGUGUAAGUAACUAUGCACGUCUUGACGGUACCUAAUCAGAAAGCCACGGCUAACUACG
rnacentral:rRNA from 1 species